GAUGAACGCUGGCGGCGUGCCUAAUACAUGCAAGUCGAGCGAACAGAUGAGGAGCUUGCUCCUCUGACGUUAGCGGCGGACGGGUGAGUAACACGUGGAUAACUUACCUUUAAGACUGGGUUACCUUCGGGAACCCGGAUCUAAUACCGGUUAUUAUAUUGAACCUCAUGGUUCAAUAGUGCAAGCCGUUUUUGCUGUCCCUUAUAGAUGGUUCCUCGCCGCAUUAGCUAGUUGGUAAGGUAACGGCUUACCAAGGCAACGAUGCGUAGCCGACCUGAGAGGGUGAUCGGCCACACUGGAACUGAGACACGGUCCAGACUCCUACGGGAGGCAGCAGUAGGGAAUCUUCCGCAAUGGGCGAAAGCCUGACGGAGCAACGCCGCGUGAGUGAUGAAGGUCUUCGGAUCGUAAAACUCUGUUAUUAGGGAAGAACAAAUGUGUAAGUAACUAUGCACGUCUUGACGGUACCUAAUCAGAAAGCCACGGCUAACUACGUG
rnacentral:rRNA from 1 species